GCUCUUCUGCACCGAGGAGACCAGUCGUGAGAAGAGACUCUCCUUUCGUCCUGCCCUUCCGUCAGGUCAGUCUCCUGAAUUCCUUGGACACAGACGUGUAGGCAAAAUGAAAAUACAGUGUGCUUGCUUUCCACGACUCGGAGAUCUAAGGUGCCGUUAGUCGUCUGAACUCCUGCAGAAGAUAGUGCAGGCUAGGAGGAGUGGAUUCGAUGCCAUUCGAAUAUGGCCAGUUUCAUCCCAGAGCCCCAUCAGAGCUGUCAGAUGCUGCCAGCCAGACCCAGGCUGUUUCCAGCUUGUCGAUCAGACUUGAGGAGUCACUGUGUAUAUUGUCGUGUCUUCCAAGACGCGUUACCAGCUUCAGAGGGUUGACCCAGGCUCUUCAAACAUCUGAUUACACUUCAUGCUUCAGAUGAAAAGUUGUGAAGAUGGAAGAUUAUCAGACUUUGUAAUUUUCAUCAGCCAUCCUCUCUGCUCAACAGUUUCUCGCAACCCUUAUUCUCUCUCUCCUCGCCCUCUGCCUCCCGUGAGUUCCUCUCGUGCCCAGUGAGUUCCUCUCCCAGUUGUGGGUCAUACUGGCCUCUCCCCUGAAACCUAUCACGCGCAGCAGCCCAAGGAGGAUACCAAGUCAGCAUGUGGCUCGAAGCUGAAUGAAAGUUGCUGUCUGGCUCGGGCUGGGAUCCCUUCUGUGUCAGCUGGACACAACAGAGUCUGGGACCCCAGGC